GCAGCCGCGGUAAUACGUAGGGGGCGAGCGUUGUCCGGAAUGAUUGGGCGUAAAGGGCGCGUAGGCGGCCCGUUAAGUCUGGAGUGAAAGUCCCGCUUUCAAGGUGGGAAUUGCUUUGGAUACUGAUGGGCUCGAGUGCAGGAGAGGAAAGCGGAAUUACCGGUGUAGCGGUGAAAUGCGUAGAGAUCGGUAGGAACACCAGUGGCGAAGGCGGCUUUCUGGACUGAAACUGACGCUGAGGCGCGAAAGCGUGGGGAGCAAACAGGAUUAGAUACCCC
rnacentral:rRNA from 1 species